GAAACAAUGCAUCAGGGAGGCUGUUUCAGAGACUCAAACUCUCACAGGCAGACAGCCAAGAGGCAGAAGUCUGAAAACAGCUGAAAAAACUUCAGGUGAUUCUUCCCUCAUUUAUUACUUUAGAGCCCAUUGAGAUAAACCAGGCUGAUUUGUUGCUGAUAAGGGCAAGAUCUGGCCAUUUUACUUCAAUUUUUCUUUCGUCCAUAAUAGUUUAUACUACUGCUUAUGAUGGAUAUUAAAAAUGCAUAUUACUUGGAGCUGGUUGCAUGACUUCUGGUUGAUAAUGCAAGGCUCAGGAGCGCUGUUUGGUCCUCACCUGGGGCUCAGUAAGACUUUCUUUGGAGUUACUGCUCUUUGGUGCUGCACUGCUGGAUGUAGUAAUGGAGAUUGCAGAAAUGACUAUACAACUCUGAGGAGAAUGCAAGAGAAGACAGCUUCCACAGUGUAAUGGAGCAGGGCUUGGUUUGGCAGGUGCAGGGCUGUGAAGAGGAGAGCGCUGAAAGUGCAAAGAGAAAGGGACAUGUACAGUAGCAUGACUUGGAGGCGAAGAAGGGGUGCAUAUGUGGGAGCAGCAGGAGCAGGCUAUCAGCACAGAGCUAAAGAAGCCAUGGUAACUUUAAAACUCUUCUUACCCAAUGAGAAUAUGACUGCACAAAUUCAACAUGCCUCAGAUGUAUUAGUUUGUUAACUAAUUAAGAAUUCCCAUAAGGGAAUCUUUUUUUUUUCUUUUUUUUUUCUCCUUUUUCUUUUUUCAGAACAAGUAGACCUUCUGGAUUCUUACAGGCAUGUCAUUGCUUUUUCCUUCAUAGUCUCUCUCUGCUGGAUGAGUUUAUUGACUGCAUUUUAAUGCCUUCUGAAGAACCACACAUAAAAAAAAAAUACUAAAAAAAACCAACACCUUCACAGUACUCUGGUCUCCAUGGCAAAGGUUUGGCUGCUAUUGCUUUUGAAUAUGAAUUUCGGGAUAUAGUACCAAUAAUCCUAUUAGUCUGUCUAGGAAACAAAAAAAUAUGAAAUGAAAGUUGACUCAGUGUUGAAGGUAAUCUCCUUUAUUGGACUUGUAUGAGAAUACAUGUUUCAAAGAGAAAAAAACAUUGAAAAAUGGCUGUCUCAUCUUUCCGGGGUCUCAGAAAGGCCGAAGUUCCGUGUUUUGACUGUACGAAGGGACUGGGUGUGUUUUAGGUUACUUUAUGUUCACAGUACCCUAUCCAUCUCUUAUACCCUUUAUGGGUAUAACAAAUGAGAGCCGUAACAUGCGGUUUAGGUUCACUCUACUAACUAUAAGCAGACUCUGCAUUAUAUAGUUCAUGAUUACCACUUGAAUUUGUAAGAAAGUUGGCAGGAAUGCCUU
rnacentral:lncRNA from 1 species